GGCCGGGCGCGGAGGGCGGGGCCCAGGGACGUCACCUGGACUGGGCUCCGCGGGGUCCCGGGUGCUGGGUCCUGGGUGGCGCAGAAGCGCUCCGGGAGGCUCAGGACCUCGGGUCCCUGGACCCCUGGACCCCUGGCUUUCUAGACCCCUGGACCCCUGGUUCCCCGGCCUCCUGUACCCCUGCAUCCCUCGGUCCCUGGACCCCUGGACCCCCGGAUUUCCUAGACCCCCGGACCCCUGGAUUUCCUAGACUCCUAGACCCCUAGCCUCCUGGACCCCUGGACUCCUGGGCCCCUGGAACCCUGUACCCUGGACCCCUGCAUCCCCUGAGCCCCCCGGACGCCCUUGGCCCCUGAAGACAGCGGACCCCUGCCGCCCCUGGAUUCCCCACACUCCUCGGUCCCUGAACCCCGAGCUCCCUGGCCCCGCGGGGCCCUGUCCCCCUCCGCGCCCGCUCCCCUCCUGCCCGAAAAGUUGUGCGUCCCCGCCGGCCGCCGACUUUCGGGCGCCCUUACCUCGUGGCAGUUGCUUAGAUUUUCCAUCGCGAGCGGCUUCAGCUGCCUGCGCCCCGGCCGCGCGCCGAGCCCGAGGAGGAGGCGAAGUCUGGGCCGCUCCUCCGCGGUGACGGCCGGGUCGGGGCGCUCGCCUAGCUCGCAGCCUCGCUCCCGUGGCGCCCGGCGCUCAGGGUGCCAUGGAGACGGCGCCGCCCCCGGCCCUCGGGGUGGGCUGGGCGGGGCACCUGUGGCCGGCCGCGCGCGUGUGCGCGCCUGCGUGUGCGCGCGCGCGUGGUGUUGGGGGACAACAUGGUUUCCCCAAAAGUGUCCCCGCUCCCCAGUUCCUCCCGCGGCGGCAUCAGCGCGGCCGUCUCACCCCAGGGAGACGACCCUGCCUCGGCCUCGAAGUCCGCUCGCAGGACCGCGCCCCUUGGGAAAGCGGGAGGCCCCAGCGCCCACGCGAAAGGAGCCGUCCUGCCCCCACGUCCUCUCUGGUGGAAACGGCGGCUCGCGAGGCCGACUUCGGGACCUGUGUUUGGGUCCCUGCAAGAAAUCCUGCGUCCAGGAGAGUGCAGUGCAUCCAAGCAGGGCAGCGAACUAGGACUGGCUCAGAAGAAAGCGAACUUCUAAGUGAUGGCAAGAGGAACCUUCCCGGAAGACAGUGUCUGUCACCCCUUGGAUGCACCGGAACUCGGGCCGGUCCACCCCUCGCUGAACUUGUUGGACAGAAACGCAGGAAGCCGUUUCGGACCAAGCUGCUGGACUGCGCCCCAACAGGCCGGGCCGAGAGGGAGAGCUGAGCCGCUCACGCGGCAGUGCAGCAAGCUUCUGUCCUACUCUUGGAGCAGUCAACGGGCCGCUGACAGCAACGGGCACAUUUCCCAGGAGUUCUGUGGUUUAUUUUUCCUUAAAUUCUUUCAUUGGUGCAUUUUAGGUGUGCAAUACGUUUACAUUUAUCCUUGGGUGCUUGUACCUGUGCAUGACGCAUCUUGGUUCUUAUUUUUCCCCUUCUCCAGCCCUCCCUUCCCUAUUUACAAAGACUUUGUUUCCAUUUCUUUUUCUUUCUCAUAAUUUUUCCUUUCCCUUCUUCCCUUU
rnacentral:lncRNA from 1 species